rnacentral:lncRNA from 1 species
AAGUUUUGAAGCCCCGUUCUUGGUUGAAUAGAACUAGUUUUAUGGCUAUAGUCUAGCUGGACACACACACAGCUUGCUCUCCAGCACUCAAGCCCUUACGUGUUAGCCCCAGGAUCCUGAACGCAUUCGGGGUGGGAGGUUGCGGGCGGGCACUCUGCUGGCCCAUGCAUUGCCUCCACCAUCAGUAAGUCCGGGGAGUCCUACGUGCAGGGUUCUCAGGCUUGCAGUAACACCCACCUGGGUGAGAGGAACACAGUGUAGCAGCUCCAGGCUUCUCUGUUCACGUCUGUCAGGGAACGUGAAAGUGCAUCUAGUUAAUAACCCUCACUUUCUCCUAUGCUCUUCUAUCAACUCAUCCCCAGUUCUCGGAGGCUCCCCAGUCACUAACGAUCUACAAAGAAGACCCAAACAUUUAGCUCACGCGUUAUGGGCACCCUCCUUUUCUCGGUCUCCCCGCCAGAAGAUUCUAGAAACUGCUUUGCAGACUCUCCUCAGGGACUUAGAAGCCACCAAGUCCCGUCGCAGAACACUUCUCCCGCUGCUAUUCCACACGUGCCUUCCAGGAGAGUCUUGUUCAAAAGCCCGUGGUUCUGCAUUUCCCACAUGCUCACGGGACCCCCGCGCCGCUGUUCUGGGCACCACACUUUGAGCCGCAAGACUGUGGCAAACUGUCCCACCUCGGGUCAUUUUCAAAACGGGGUCUGUGGGACCCUAACUUAGGCAGCUGUUGCUAGAAAAAGCAACCUCCUUUCCCCACUGCUGAGGCCAGCCCUAGAAGUAAAAGCUCUCGUUUGUACCUGGGAAAAGGAGAAGGGGAGAAAAGGACUGCGGGGGAGACGGGUGGGUCAGAGAGAAGGGCGAGGAAGUCCGAGGAAACAAAACGGUCGGUCUCUCCAACCAGGCCUCCUCUCCAACCCGGUCUCUUCAACUGGUUAUGAAAGCUGAGGUGAUGGAAAGAACCUGAUGGAGCCGUGCAAGAGGACCGUGUAGACGUUGAGAUGGAGGCAGGGCUGCCGCAGGACCAGGCGAAACAGAUACGGUGGGGCGUGGACUUGAGGACGCUGGCAGGGACCCGGCAGCCCUGUGGAGCCCGAGGACGGAACAACUUGGGAGCGCCGCACGGGCAGACGUCCUCUGGUUGUGCACAGGCUUCCCCCACAGCUCUCUGAGGAGCGGAUGGGGUUGAAUGGCAGCAGGAGAGGAAUGGAAGAGCAUGGCAGACGCCCCUUGGGGACCACAGGGACACGGUCAUGUUCACUGGUGUGACCCCAGGGCCCAUGCGGUGACAGGUGCAGAGCAGGUGUGACACCAAAGAACCAGCUGAAUCAAAAAUUUUAUUUUAGAAUUUUAUGUAAGGACUUAUUUAUUGGGGCGCCUGGGUGGCUCAGUCGGUAAGCGUCUGCCCUGGGCUCAGGUCGUGAUCCCAGAGUCCUGGGA